UGCUGCUUUAUUGAAACUUCCUCCCUGUCGCACACAAAGCAAUUACACAAGGGGGUAUUGCCAGGGAGCUCUUGCAGAGCCUUCUCCCUCUGUACCCCCCGACAGUCCCCAGAGACCCUGCCUCCGUGGCCUCCACCUCUGGGUCAGCUCCCUGGAGGACCCCGACACACAGGGAAGCAGGCACAGGAGGGCUGUUGGGGCCAAACCUCCCCAGCUGCCACAACCGCCAUGACCCCAGUGGCAGGGUCAGUGCCCACAAGGGGGUUGCCUGCUUUGACUGAACUAACCUGUGGGUUUAGUCCAACGAACAGAUGUGCCUGAUUUCAGGGCUGAAUUUUUGCUUGACCACAAGCCUCGGGCAGAACAGAUUCGCCUAUGACUGAAUCGACUGAAUGGAUGGCCAGCGACAGCCUGGCCUGGGAAUGGACUGGCAGCUCAUCACUAAAAUGACUCCUUUCAUGGAAUCCACUGUUAUGCAGCCACACUGACCACAGAGCAACUGAAUAGGUGAGCAUUGGAUUGUUGAUGACAACUCUUCAGCAGAACAAUUGUGUGUUUGAAGGGACUGUUUUAUGAUGAAAUAACUGUUAUUUCCUGGAGCUAAUUGUUGAAUGACAGUUUGUCAACUGUUUAAAUGAAUUUCAUUUGAAUUAACAAUUAUACAGCCACUCAGAGGUCCUACAUUCGCCAGAGUUGGCAUCCAGUUGAUGGGUUCAUUUGAAUUAAAUGGUUUGGAGGCUAACGUGAUUUUUUAAAUUGAAUUUCAUCACUAUUCUGUGUAUUCUAUUUAUCACUAUUCUAAAUGACUCAUGGUUGGCUAAUUGAUUAUCAUGUAAGCAAGCUAUUUGAAGAAAUUGAUUACAUAUAUUUAUAUAUAGGGGGUAACUAAUUAAUGAUUACUUGAUUAAAUUGCUAUGUGAACUGACAACUAUUUAUAAAUCAAUGCAAUAGACUGUUGUUUGACCAAAUUAUUUUACUGAACUGACAAGUGGGUUUUUGAUUUGUCAGUUGCUUGGCUGAACUGAUCAAGUCGAUAGUUGCUUGACAAACUCACCAACUUUAGAAUGGCCAAUCGUCUAAACAAGUGUCAGAGCUGAUUGAAAUAAACCAAGCAUUGUUGGGCUGAAUUAUGGAGAGACCCGAGGAGUGACUCAGCCUAAAGCGUUGACCCAGUUGUGAGCAGCUCACAGGCCCUGCAGGAGGAGCAGGCCAGCGAGGGAGACACAAGCAGAUUGUCCUGCCAGGGAGGGGCGGGAGGGCCCACCCAGGCCACAGGGGCCACCAAAGCAAAAAAGCAGAUUAUGAGGCAGCUCCACCCCUCCCAGCACUGGGGCUGGGGCCUGGCGAGGGUCACACCUCUGAGUAUGGGGGUGGUGCUGGGCCCCCCUCUGGGGUCUUCGAUGGCAAAGACAGGGCUUCCUCGUAGGACGGCAGGACCACCUUCUGGAGCAUCUUGGAGUUUCUCUUCUCCUCCACCGAGUUCAUGCACUUGAUCAAUCUGUAGCACCGCCACACGCACUUGAACAUGUAGACCUUGAAGAUAAGGACAGUGAUGAAGGCGAUGGAAAAGAUGAUCAUCAUCUUGAUGAACUGGUUAUGAGGCAUAUCCUCCUGGCUGGGGAGGUAAUUCAUGUGGUUCAUGGACUUGAAGUUGAGAUAGGUGGGCACUUCCAUGUAGGAGCUGCAGAGGGUCAGGAUGCUCAGGCAGAAGUCCAGCAGCUGCAGCGUCAUCAGGGGGAACUUGGAGGAGCUAGCACGGCUCCGGGAGGCCAACUUGAGGUAGGCGGGCAGCUCAAUGUAGGAGCCCAGCAGGGUGAGCAGGCACAGGAGAUAGUCCAUGAUUUGCAGGGACAGGAAGGGCAGCAGGUACUUCUCCCGGUUCUUGACUACGCCGAUCAGUAGGCUCAGGCUGAUGAUGAAGAGCAUGGUGAUGAGCAGGAAGCUGGAGAUCAGGUCAGCGAUCCUGAGGUAGCCCAUCUGGGAGAGCUUGCAGGACGCCUUGCCAUGGGCCACCUCUACUGAGUGCUCGAUGAACAACAAGACGCUCAUGAUCACAUGGUAGAUGGCCAGGGCGGUGGUUGCGAUGCGGACAUUGAAGCAGCAGCAGGUCUGGCGGACAGUGGACAAGCGGGGGUCCAUGGUGCUGCCGUCCCCUCCUCUGAGACACUGAAGGGGAAAGAGCCUGGUGCC
rnacentral:lncRNA from 1 species